rnacentral:rRNA from 1 species
UACGGAGGGUGCGAGCGUUGUUCGGAAUCACUGGGCGUAAAGCGCGUGUAGGCGGCCCAUUAAGUCUGAUGUGAAAGCCCGGGGCUCACCCCCGGAAGUGCAUUGGAAACUGAUGGACUCGAGUCCCGGAGAGGAGAGUGGAAUUCCUGGUGUAGCGGUGAAAUGCGUAGAUAUCAGGAGGAACACCGGUGGCGAAGGCGGCUCUCUGGACGGUGACUGACGCUGAGGCGCGAAAGCGUGGGGAGCAAACAGG